GGGCAUUCUCUAGGAAAUUGCUGAUUUCACACUGGACUCAAGCAAAAACAUUUUCACAGGAAGGAUUUUAACGUUUGAUGGCAUCAAGUAGUUAGAACUGAAGUUCUGACUUCAGGACUAGUUAUAAGUGUUUCGCAUUUUGAAGUGAUUCAGGACCAGAGGACAUGGUGGAGGCCUUGAGGGGUGCAGCUCAGCCUUCACGGAGAGUGAAAGGUGAUUGGACGGAGUUGGGGGGACGUGUCGUCAACUUCUUUUUCCUACAGCUCAGUUUUGGCUCGUGCACACGAUGACAGCAUUCCCAGCAUGUCCACCUCGGAAUUGUUUCUCUAAAUAAGGCAAGUAGAACAUGUUUGGCUCAUGUACUUCUCUCACUCAUGGUGGUUGCAUUGUGUUUUUCACAAAAUAUAAUGAAACUGCAGUCAGCCCUUGUUUUCCCAUGAGAUCUCUGUUUUCCCAGGAAAGUCGGUCAAGCUCAAGAUACUCCCUGAAAUACAAACAAACAGUCUCCUCACUAGAAUUUCCAUGAAGCAAUUUGUUUGCAGUAUUUUAAACCCCCCUAUGACAACCAUGUGAAAGCUUAAAACAGCAAAUGACUUCAGCGGUAUCACAUCAUUCACACUAAAUGCAAGUGGUCUGUCUAAAUCUGCUCUAUGUUAUGAUAAUGCUCUGGUGUGAGUGGAAUCCUAUUCCACGGGAUGUUUGCCACUAUUUUUGCAAAUAUAAUGACAUUUUUUUAUGGUGGAAUUUCUUUAAGGGUUCGAUUUCUAAAGACGUAAAUGUUGUCCCAAUAAUUUCAUGGUGGUUAUGAAUGAAGAUCAGAAAUCACGGUUUG
ensembl:lncRNA